AAGUCUGACGGAGCAACGCCGCGUGAGUGAUGAAGGUUUUCGGAUCGUAAAGCUCUGUUGUUAGGGAAGAACAAGUGCCGUUCAAAUAGGGCGGCACCUUGACGGUACCUAACCAGAAAGCCACGGCUAACUACGUGCCAGCAGCCGCGGUAAUACGUAGGUGGCAAGCGUUGUCCGGAAUUAUUGGGCGUAAAGGGCUCGCAGGCGGUUUCUUAAGUCUGAUGUGAAAGCCCCCGGCUCAACCGGGGAGGGUCAUUGGAAACUGGGGAACUUGAGUGCAGAAGAGGAGAGUGGAAUUCCACGUGUAGCGGUGAAAUGCGUAGAGAUGUGGAGGAACACCAGUGGCGAAGGCGACUCUCUGGUCUGUAACUGACGCUGAGGAGCGAAAGCGUGGGGAGCGAACAGGAUUAGAUACCCUGGUAGUCCACGCCGUAAACGAUGAGUGCUAAGUGUUAGGGGGUUUCCGCCCCUUAGUGCUGCAGCUAACGCAUUAAGCACUCCGCCUGGGGAGUACGGUCGCAAGACUGAAACUCAAAG
rnacentral:rRNA from 1 species